rnacentral:rRNA from 1 species
GCGCGUGUCUUCACGCACAAUUACUUUGGCGUCUGAAAGCAACGAACGUGACCGUAACCUCUUGUUGCCUUCUCUUCUCCUCGGAGAAUGCUGUUUGUUUUUGCAGGCAGUAUAUGGAGGCUUUUUUACUCAACAACUAGAGGGACCGCUGUUUCUUUCUUUAAACCAGAGGAAGGAUACGGCAAUAACAGGUCUGUGAUGCCCUUAGAUGUUCCGGGCUGCACACGUGAUACAUUGAUUACUUCAGUGAGUAUCUACGUUUUACUGCGUGGCAUUGCAAUGCAUAUUUCUUCGGAAGUGUGUUUUUGUUUGCCGCCUCAACCUGCUUCGAAAGCAUGCGGGUAACCAAUUAGAAGUAGUGAUUUCCUUUUUUAUAAGCACACUAAUAUGGGGCAUCAUCACCCGGCAUGCAUUGUUGUAUGUUUUGUGUGUGGUGUUUGCUUUUCCAUGUGCUUUUGUCAAUUCAUAGUGGGGAUAGACCAUUGUUAAUUGUUGGUCUCGGUCUUAACUAGGAAUGCCUUGUACGAGUUUUUGGUUCAA